rnacentral:rRNA from 1 species
UACGUAGGUGGCAAGCGUUGUCCGGAAUUAUUGGGCGUAAAGCGCGUGCAGGCGGUCCCUUAAGUCUGAUGUGAAAGCCCACGGCUCAACCGUGGAGGGUCAUUGGAAACUGGGGGACUUGAGUGCAGAAGAGGAAAGUGGAAUUCCAUGUGUAGCGGUGAAAUGCGUAGAGAUGUGGAGGAACACCAGUGGCGAAGGCGACUUUCUGGUCUGUAACUGACGCUGAGGCGCGAAAGCGUGGGGAGCAAACAGG